ACUCAAAUGAAUUGACGGGAGCCCGCACAAGCAGUGGAGUAUGUUGUUUAAUUCGACGCAACGCGAAGAACCUUACCAGACCUUGACAUCCUAUGAAGACGGCGUAAUGGCUGUCGUGCCCUUCGGGGAGCAUAGAGACAGGUAGUGCAUGGUUGUCGUCAGCUCGUGUCGUGAGAUGUUGGGUUAAGUCCCGCAACGAGCGCAACCCUUGCGGAUAGUUGCCAGCGCGGAAACGCGAGGCACUCUAUUCGGACUGCCGUUGACAAAACGGAGGAAGGUGGGGAUGAUGUCAAAUCAUCAUGCUCCUUAUGGUCUGGGCUACAAACGUACUACAAUGGCGUGAACAGAGGGAUGCGAAGGCGCGAGCCGGAGCGGAACCCGAAAACACGUCCCAGUUCGAAUUGCAGGCUGCAACUCGCCUGCAUGAAGUUGGAAUUGCUAGUAAUCGCGGGUCAGCAUACCGCGGUGAAUACGUUCCCGGGCUUUGCACACACCGCCCGU
rnacentral:rRNA from 1 species